AUGGAACCACAAGUUGCAGCAAUGGCAAGACGUAAAAGGAAGCAGAUUCUUAAAGAUAAAAGAUUGAAAAAAAAGGAAGAACUGAUGAAAACACAAUCAAUCCCAUUGAAAACUCUCAAAGCAUCUGCAUCAAGCAACUCAAGUACAAUGAAGAGUUUCAAUAUUGUUUCUACAAAUCAACUGGCUGCUUCAGCACGACAGCGGAAGAAAAGUAUUAUGGAAGAUAUGUAG